UAGACCGCCUGGGGAGUACGGCCGCAAGGUUAAAACUCAAAUGAAUUGACGGGGGCCCGCACAAGCGGUGGAGCAUGUGGUUUAAUUCGAUGCAACGCGAAGAACCUUACCUGGUCUUGACAUCCACAGAACUUUCCAGAGAUGAGAUUGUGCCUUCGGGAACUGUGAGACAGGUGCUGCAUGGCUGUCGUCAGCUCGUGUUGUGAAAUGUUGGGUUAAGUCCCGCAACGAGCGCAACCCUUAUCCUUUGUUGCCAGCGGUUAGGCCGGGAACUCAAAGGAGACUGCCAGUGAUAAACUGGAGGAAGGUGGGGAUGACGUCAAGUCAUCAUGGCCCUUACGACCAGGGCUACACACGUGCUACAAUGGCGCAUACAAAGAGAAGCGACCUCGCGAGAGCAAGCGGACCUCAUAAAGUGCGUCGUAGUCCGGAUUGGAGUCUGCAACUCGACUCCAUGAAGUCGGAAUCGCUAGUAAUCGUGGAUCAGAAUGCCACGGUGAAUACGUUCCCGGGCCUUGUACACACCGCCCGUCACACCAUGGGAGUGGGUUGCAAAAGAAGUAGGUAGCUUAACCUUCGGGAGGGCGCUUACCACUUUGUGAUUCAUGACUGGGGUGAAGUCGUAACAAGGUAACCGUAGGGGAACCUGCGGUUGGAUCACCUCCUUACCUUAAAGAAGC
rnacentral:rRNA from 1 species